rnacentral:rRNA from 1 species
AAUGAACGCUGGCGGCAUGCCUAACACAUGCAAGUCGAACGAAGGCUUCGGCCUUAGUGGCGCACGGGUGCGUAACGCGUGGGAAUCUGCCCCUUGGUUCGGAAUAACAGUUAGAAAUGACUGCUAAUACCGGAUGAUGACGUAAGUCCAAAGAUUUAUCGCCGAGGGAUGAGCCCGCGUAGGAUUAGCUAGUUGGUGUGGUAAGAGCGCACCAAGGCGACGAUCCUUAGCUGGUCUGAGAGGAUGAUCAGCCACACUGGGACUGAGACACGGCCCAGACUCCUACGGGAGGCAGCAGUGGGGAAUAUUGGACAAUGGGCGAAAGCCUGAUCCAGCAAUGCCGCGUGAGUGAUGAAGGCCUUAGGGUUGUAAAGCUCUUUUACCCGGGACGAUAAUGACAGUACCGGGAGAAUAAGCUCCGGCUAACUCCGUG